ACCUGACUGCUAUCGGAUUGGUACUAAGCCAUGUGAGUCAUUGUAGCAAUACAAGGCAUACGGCUCAGUAACACGUAGUCAAUCUGCCCUAUGGACGUGGAUAACCUCGGGAAACUGAGAAUAAUCCGCGAUAGAUCAUAAUGCCUGGAACGGUUUAUGGUCCAAAUGAUUCGUCGCCAUAGGAUGGGACUGCGGCCUAUCAGCUUGUUGGUGAGGUAAUGGCCCACCAAGGCUAUUACAGGUACGGGCUCUGAGAGGAGAAGCCCGGAGAUGGGUACUGAGACACGGACCCAGGCCCUAUGGGGCGCAGCAGGCGAGAAACCUUUGCAAUGUGCGCAAGCACGACAAGGUUAAUCCGAGUGUUUCCUGCUAAAGGAAUCUUUUGUUAGUUCUAAAACCACUAACGAAUAAGGGGUGGGCAAGUUCUGGUGUCAGCCGCCGCGGUAAAACCAGCACCUCAAGUGGUCAGGAUGAUUAUUGGGCCUAAAGCAUCCGUAGCUCGUUUUGUAAGUUUUCGGUUAAAUCCAUGCGCUUAACGUAUGGGCUGCCGGGAAUACUGCAUAACUAGGAAGUGGGAGAGGUAGACGGUACUCGGGAGGAAGGGGUAAAAUCCUUUGAUCUCUUGAUGACCACCUGUGGCGAAGGCGGUCCACCAGAACACGUUCGACGGUGAGGGAUGAAAGCUGGGGGAGCAAACCGGAUUAGAUACCCGGGUAGUCCCAGCUGUAAACUAUGCAAACUCAGUGAUGCAUUGGCUUAUGGCCAAUGCAGUGCUGCAGGGAAGCCGUUAAGUUUGCCGCCUGGGAAGUACGUACGCAAGUAUGAAACUUAAAGGAAUUGGCGGGGGAGCACCACAAGGGGUGAAGCCUGCGGUU
rnacentral:rRNA from 1 species